rnacentral:rRNA from 1 species
CCUACGGGUGGCAGCAGUGAGGAAUAUUGGUCAAUGGGCGCUAGCCUGAACCAGCCAAGUAGCGUGAAGGAUGACUGCCCUAUGGGUUGUAACCUUCUUUUAUAUGGGAAUAAAGUGCAGUAUGUAUACUGCUUUGCAUGUACCUUAUGAACAAGGAUCGGCUAACUCCGUGCCAGCAGCCGCGGUAAUACGGGGGAUCCGAGCGUUCUCCGGAUUUAUUGGGUUUAAGGGGUGCGUAGGCGGACGGUAAAGUCAGCGGUAAAAAUGCGGUGAUAAACGGCGUACAGCAGUUGAAACUGGUAGUCUUGAGUAGGCGAGAGGUAGGCGGAAUGCGUGGUGUAGCGGUGAAAUGCAUAGAUAUCACGCAGAACUCCGAUUGCGAAGGCAGCAUACCGGAGCCCUACUGACGCUGAGGCACGAAAGCGUGGGGAUCGAACAGGAUUAGAUACCCCUGUAGUC